rnacentral:lncRNA from 1 species
AAGAGGGAGCCUCAGCCAACACUACAUCAGAGGCACAUUGUGGAUGGAGGAAAUGAGUUUAGUCAAGCCAGCUGUGACUUCAAAGGGGCUGCUCUCCCAGAGAACAGUGAGAAAGGGUUCCCCCUUCAGUGAAGACUGCAAAGUUCAGCCAGCGCCAACCCAAAGGGAAUGGACUCCAGGAAGGGGCAAAUUACAUUCAACAUACAAGAAAGAAUAUUUUCCUUCAUGAAGUGGCUGUGACAGUCUGAAGAGGAAGGAAAAUGACAAAAAAGAAAGGGCCAGUACGUGGAAAAUGCGGAAAUUGGAACUUACUAUAAGUAACUAAUUCAGAAAUCAGGCUGGCAGAAGUGUUAUACAUUCACUGGAAGAAAUUGGUGAAUAUAUGGAAAACAUAAAUGUUAUGUAUCCUGGAACUUAAAAUAAAAAUUAAUAAUAAAAAAUGUUAUCUCUCCCAAGCA